rnacentral:rRNA from 1 species
GAUAAACGCUAGCGGCAGGCUUAACACAUGCAAGUCGAGGGGCAGCAUAGAUUGUAGCAAUACAAUUGGUGGCGACCGGCGCACGGGUGCGUAACGCGUAUGCAACCUACCCGUCACAGGGGGAUAAUCCGGAGAAAUCUGGUCUAAUACCCCAUAACAUAUGGAUCGGCAUCGGUUCAUGUUGAAAUUUUCGGAGGUGACGGAUGGGCAUGCGUAGCAUUAGCUUGUUGGUGAGGUAACGGCUCACCAAGGCGACGAUGCUUAGGGGGACUGAGAGGUUAUCCCCCCACACUGGUACUGAGACACGGACCAGACUCAUACGGGAGGCAGCAGUGAGGAAUAUUGGUCAAUGGGCGCAAGCCUGAACCAGCCAUGCCGCGUGCAGGAUGACGGCUCUAUGAGUUGUAAACUGCUUUUGUACGAGGGUAAAGUGGGUUACGUGUAACCUUUUGGAAGUAUCGUACGAAUAAGGAUCGGCUAACUCCGUGCCAGCCGCCGCGGUAA